UACGGAGGGAGCUAGCGUUGUUCGGAAUUACUGGGCGUAAAGCGUACGUAGGCGGUUAUUCAAGUCAGAGGUGAAAGCCUGGAGCUCAACUCCAGAACGGCCUUUGAAACUAGGUAGCUAGAAUCACGGAGAGGUUAGUGGAAUUCCGAGUGUAGAGGUGAAAUUCGUAGAUAUUCGGAAGAACACCAGUGGCGAAGGCGGCUCACUGGACUGGUAUUGACGCUGAGGUGCGAAAGCGUGGGGAGCAAACAGG
rnacentral:rRNA from 1 species